rnacentral:rRNA from 1 species
GAUGAACGCUAGCGGCAGGCUUAACACAUGCAAGUCGAGGGGUAUUGGUUUUCGGACCAAGAGACCGGCGCACGGGUGCGUAACGCGUAUGCAAUCUACCUUUUGCAGAGGGAUAGCCCAGAGAAAUUUGGAUUAAUACCUCAUAGUAUAGUACUUUGGCAUCAAGGAACUAUUAAAGUCACAACGGCAAAGAUGAGCAUGCGUCCAUUAGCUAGUUGGUAAGGUAACGGCUUACCAAGGCUACGAUGGUAGGGGGUCCUGAGAGGGAGAUCCCCACACUGGUACUGAGACACGGACCAGACUCCUAC